CUCCAACACUAUCUAGAAUCUAAAAGGGUUCUUUGGCUGUCCCCAUAGGAGAACCCUUUGUAGAACCCUUUUUAGUACUAGGUAGAACCCUUUUGGGUUCCAUGAAGAACCCUUUCCACAGAGGGUUCUACAUGGAAGCCAGAAGGGUUCUACCUUGAACCCAAAAGCGUCUCCUAUGGGGACAGACGGAGGACCUGUUUGGAACCCUUUAGUCUAAGAGUGUACUGUAUCAUAGGUCUAUAGACCAGGGUGAUCUCCUACUGUAUCAUAGGUCUAUAGACCAGGGUGAUCUCCUACUGUAUCAUAGGUCUAUAGACCAGGGUGAUCUCCUACUGUAUCAUAGGUCUAUAGACCACGGUGAUCUCCUACUGUAUCAUAGGUCUAUAGACCAGGGUGAUCUCCUACUGUAUCAUAGGUCUAUAGACCAGGGUGAUCUCCUCCUGUAUCAUAGGUCUAUAGACCAGGGUGAUCUCCUACUGUAUCAUAGGUCUAUAGACCAGGGUGAUCUCCUACUGUAUCAUAGGUCUAUAGACCAGGGUGAUCUCCUACUGUAUCAUAGGUCUACAGACUUGUCUUCUCAAAACAGGCUUAAAACACAACAAGCAACAAACAAACAUUUUCUCUUUCUAAUCUGCUGUUAAUGCUUUUCACUCAGGAAGGUAUUUUGUGUGAAAGAGACAAAUAAAUAUUGUGGAAAGACUAACAACAAAUUACACUUCCUCAAAACAGGUUGUGUGUAUUCAUUAGUGCCCACCGUAACAAAACAACAGAAACCGUUUAGGUCAC
ensembl:lncRNA